ensembl:lncRNA
UGACAAUUAAAUUGUUCUGUCACUUUGGGACCUUCAUUAAUCUCAACUUGUCAUCCUUGUUUAUGCAGGUUAUAAUGGCCUGUGUGUGUAAGUGAAAUGAGAUGCUAAAAGCCCUUGGCUGUUUAAGUCUUUGAUGAAAGUCAAGCAGGAAUACGUUGUUGAAGGAGAAAGUUGGGUUUUUUUCAUCCCCCAAAAUAGCACCAUGGAAAUUACUGCAUGGUGUAAUGGCUAGCUAUGGAAUAAGCCGAGUUUACAGAUCAGUGAAAAAAAGAAUGACUUUAUGGUACUGUUAUCACAUUCUUUUGUGUGUCUGUCUGAGUGUAGAUAGAAAUAAAGAUGUGGCAACAUAGAUUACUUUCUCUUGCAGGAAAGUGAUGCGAAGGCAUCAUACUCAAACAGAGGAAUCUAGAGGCUAGAGAUUUUCAGACAACACUGCAUUAUUGGUGUAACUCAGGCGGAGGAUGCAACUAAACAUCUCCUGAAUCUCUGCAAUAAACAGUUUUUCAGUGUUCAUUAAUAAGAAGAAACCAGCUCUUUUGAGUGAAAAUUUCCUCAUCUUUAGUGAAUUUCUGGGGUGUUCUGAAGACCGACUUGGAGAAAAGGGGAAUAGAAUGCAGUUGACAAGUCAUUUAUUUCUCUAUUACAGCCAUCUGGAAGAUUAACUAAUAGCAGCCUCGGCGUUGGAUGGCUGGCCAAAUUAGGUAUGACUUAGCAGAGUAGUGCUUCAUCGUCCGCUCCUUCCCAGAGCAGACCUUCUCCAGCAGCUGCUUCGUUAGGCAGUGAGCAGGCCCACAGCGGGACAGAAACGAAGCAUGCUGUGCUGUCAGCUCAUCUGAAAACAGGUUGGGAAGCCUACUGAGGUCUCCAGCAUUGGUGGUUUUCCCGCCGAGGAUUAAAUAUGCCUGCAUAAAGCCAGCGCAUCCCACAAAUCAAAAGCAGCAUGCGUGGAAAAGGAGCAAGCAGUGGCAAGCACAACCUGGAGUGCCGUGAUGGAUUAGGGAGAGGGCCCUGUGAAUGCUCCCUUUUCUGAAGGGGAGGUAAUCCGUCAAUCCCAACAGGGCAGUCCUGUCAAAGUAGGCCUCAUUGAGGACCACAGCAUCCUCCUCGGUUUGUUCUCCGUCCUGUGGAGGGCACUGCACUCUGUGCCAGACUGAGCUCGUGGUCGGAAGCUGAUUGGUGUGGGGUACCUACCAACUUUUGUCCUCUCUGCAAAAUGGCUGUACCAUCUUCUAACUCUGGAGAGCUGGGGAGAAGACAGCUCAAGAUGUUUUGAAAAGCCAAAACCUCUCAAUGUUAAAAUGUAAGAGAGAUUGAUUGUGACUCAAACGUGAUAAGAUUUCAACGAGGCAAGCUUGGUCCAGUAUCAUUUUAAAAGCCAUUCAGAAAGGGCACUUGCUGGAGCAGGAGAGCUUCCCUGCUGGCUGCAAUGGAGGAAAUCCCGGGAAUAAUCUAUGGCUUAAAGAGAGUUUGUCUUUAACCAUGAAGGGAUCAUCCUGCUCUCCCUACAAAGUCCUUUCAUUUCCAUCUGGAAUGAGUAUACGAUAACCUAGUCAGACCAGCCUCUCAGUCACCAAUCAAAACACUGACUCUUGACAUUUGCCUAAUUAUCUUUUCUCAUCAUCAGUCAUCUCUUGAAGUCUUUGCUUCAUUCAGAUGCCAGGUAUUUCCGAAAUUAAUCAUGUCAUUGAAAGCGGCAUCUUUUCAUGUAAAUGGACUUUAUUAUCUGGAUCGAAAAGCUCCCCCCCACCUCCUCCUUUGAGCUGCAAAAGCCCAUUUGUAGGGAAAGUGUCUGAAAUCUGACAUGCUGCCUUCUCAAGAGAGAUUCGUAGUGGUGACCUCCCAGCAAGAGCUAAGCAUCCGUCACCGGGAGUGUGUGUGUGUGCUGCUUGCACCCUUGGGCUGGAUGCAUGCUAAUUUGCCCCCAUUGUUUCGGGGUGAGUGGCUUUCCAGCACUUCCAAACAAAGCCUUUUUGCAUGAGCCUCUGUGUGUACAAUUAUUUUAUGUUCACAUCAUUCCAUCAUCUUAUCUCUAUUCCUGAUAUAAGAGGGGAUGGAAAUGUCUUUGUUUUCUUGUUAUACUGGGGAUUACAAACUGGAUUUAGCAUGUUAGCAAGGACACUCCUCUUUCAUUAAUUCUCAUUUGACAUAUGUUUUGCAACAUAGGAUUGAUCAGCUCAUUGCAAUGCUCAUCUUCUCUUUAACUUUCAAAGGGACACUACCACCAAACCUUGUUGAUUCAACAAGAAACCAGUCUGCUGUAAUUGACAGCACAUGCAAAGUGUUGCAGGAAAGAAGUAAAUAUGAGUGGUUUAGUCAGGAAUGUAAUCUAAACUGUGGUAGAAGAAUGCAUUCAUUUUGCUCAUUAGGCUCACUCCUUAAUGAAUUGUACAGUGAGCAGGGCAACGAAUCUGAGAUCAGCACUGAUAAUGCAACUCUGCAUUUUGAGGAGUUCACUUUUUAAGUUUGUGGUCGCACAUUUACAGACUCCUUGCAAAAGCACCCUGUUAUUUUACACAUGCUGAGCCUCCCUCUGGGACCAUUUGCAGACAGCAAUAUUAAUUGCUGGCAAGAUCUACACUUAAAUUAAAAGUGAAAGUUGGGCAUCAUCUGACUGAAAGGGGGAAGUGAAAUGAAUCACUGUCCUUCUGUGCUUGCACUGUGUAGGACUAACAAAUUAAGAUCAUUCUUUUUAGCACUGUCAAACCAGACUUGAUCUGAUAAGAAGCAAUAACUCUCCUAGAAAGUUUUCAGUAUCAUUGGUAUUAUGUAAAGUCAUGUUCUCUAUUCCCUGGUAACAAUUUGAGAGUAUGAACAGACCAAAAGUGGCUUUUUGAAUAACAGGCACACUGUUAUAUAACGGUGUACAUAGCCGUGUAUGUUUAGAGAAAGAGCAUAGAUUAUAAAUUGUUGGAUGCUGAAGAUCAAGCGACACCAUUAUGCAAUGUAUCUUUCUGCCUAGUGAAGGACACAGGGCUCUGUGUAUAUAUACUCUAUAUAUGUAAUGCCAUUAGGCAGACCUUCCAAAACCAAUGUUAAGAUAUAUCAUGAGGCAGAAGUCACCACAGUAUUCAGCAAUUGAAUUCCUAUUCAGCGAUUGUUCCUAUUGCCAAGUGCUCUCAUGGUUAAAAAUUUCCUGUUAAUUUCUAGCUUGAAUUCAUCUAGCUUCAACCUCCAGAUGUUAGAUCUUGUUUUAUGUCUUUGUUAAACUGAAAAGCCCUCUGUUUCCUGUGAAGCUUCUUGUAUAUUGUGGGCAAGUCACUCCUUAACCUUUCUCUAUUAAGCUAAACAGUCUGAGCUGCUUGAGCCUCUCACAAUUGUUUUCUAAUCCUCCCAGUGUUUUCUAGUCCUUUAGCCAUCCUCAUGGCUCUUCUAAUUUAUCAACAACCUCUUGAAACAUAGGCACCAGAACUGGAUCCACUAUUCCAUUAGUAGUCAUACCAGUGCCACAGACAAAGAUGAUAUUACCUCAGGCCUCUAGCCUAUAUCCCCCUGUUUACAUAUCCUAAGGACUGAAGUUACCCUUCCAGCUACAGAGCUAAUGUGCAGCUGAGCAUCCACGCCUCUGCCAUGUUCUUUUUGGAGCCAUUUCUUUCCCAGAGAGAGGGUCCUUCCCUUCUUUAAAUAUUCCCUCCACUCUGUUCACCUAACGUUAUCAUUUAACACUUUCUCAUGCUUAUUGUUUCCUUCAUGCAUCAUUGACGUGCCUUUGAUAUUUACUGCAUUCCCAGUCCGUGUCAGCAGUGACUUCGUGUUUUCUAACAAGCGUUGAAAAGAUUAAACAGCAGCCAUCCACCCAAGAAAAAGUGCUCUGUUACCAAUCCUCGAUAAGGAAUCCUCAUACACAGUGAAAAAUCACCAGCUACCCUCCUCCUCCUUCCUUGCUAAGAAAAUCAUGCCCUAUAAACCACAGAGAAGAUGCUAUACCCUUAACUCUGCCCGACAGUUCACAUUUGUCCUGCUCACCUCACUAGGGGAUUUCUCAUCCUCUUGCUUCCUUUCCACACUGUCCUGAGAAAGCACAUAUACCUCAGUUCAGGAAGGAGACAGCAGGAAGCUAUCACUUCAACCCAGGAAGAGCUGAAACUAUUUUCUGCCUGAUAAAAUGAUAUGCACUAGUGCUGAGGUGUAUUUCACCAGCUGAAGGCUGUUUCUGGAGGAGCAACUGUUAUUUCUUCCCACUUCAAUUUGUAUAUCAUUGAUGCAGUAUUCUGAGGUUGACUGGAUGUUAUCUUAAUUAUCUAUCAUUUAUUACUGUCAUUAUUGUUGUGGCGCUACUUUAGUGCUAAAGUGAGGAACGCAAUCAGGUUCUACAAGUAAGGAUGUAGGAUUGUCCCAAGGAAUUGUGGGAAGGAAUUUGGUUUUUUGUUGUUGUUGUUGUUGUUUUGUUUUUUUUGUUUUUACUAUUUUUUAAAAUGGUUCAAAAAAUAAUGAUCACCUCACUGGUGUUAUUUUAUUUAUCACCAUGAAUACAUUUAAAUGGAUUUCCCUGCAGUAACCAUAACAUUUAUCUUUCUCGAUAGUUUCCAGUAGUUCUGGGAACUGUUUUUCACAGAAGUGUCUAAUUAUUAUCACUAGCAAUUACAUUUAUUUAUUAUGUUUUGCUGUUGCUGAAGGAGCUUCUCAUGCCAUUGACAUGCUCUCUUGUACGCUAUCACCAAAAGACAAAUUGGGUUAUAAUUAAAUUGCAGAAUAAAAUUGUCAAAUGUUGACAUUGUUUCUCUUUCGUGGGGCAAUUUGUAACCAUUUACUCUUCUUUCCAGUUUGAAGUUAUUCUGUUUCUUUUCCAUUUGUAGUUUUCAGAAAUGUUUUUAUUGUUGUUGUUUUUUGCUGCUCUUUCUUCUCAGCCCUUUCUCUUUCUUUUCCUUUUGCAAAAUCUUUUCUUCCCCCCCCCCCCCCCCUUUCAUAUUCUGAUAACUUUCCUUUGAGAAAGCUCCCAGAGCACCAGCUAUGGGCUUGGUCUUCGGCCUCCUUAGCCAGAAUUUAUCUUUGCCAUGUGCCAAUAUGGAAAAACUGGCGCAGUGGAAAAAGAGAAAGGAAAAUGAAGAAGUGGAAAAAAACUUUCCAUCCCAAAGAAAAUGUUAAACUUCAUCUCUUUCAUUACUUUCAGUAGCAAGAUGCAAAGAGGUUUUUAAAAACAGCAGAAAGUGGGAAUUCCAGAAUUUUCACUUCUGGUGGGAUAAAUGAGAAGUUUUGAACAACCAGAAGUCUACAGAAAGGUGGGGCUCUGAGACAGGCAAAAAAAAAAAAAAAAAAAAAAAAAAAAAAAAAAAAAAAA